rnacentral:rRNA from 1 species
GAAGUAAAAGUCGUAACAAGGUUUCCGUAGGUGAACCUGCGGAAGGAUCAUUAACGAGCCGCCGGCGGAGGCCUAACCCGUCUCCGCCGGCACCGGCCCCACCCUUGAAUACUUUACCUGUUGCCUUGGCGGGCCGCAUCGUCCGCGGUCGUUCCGGCUAGCUUGCUACCGGUCCUGUGCCCGCCACAGGAACUCCAACUCUUUAUUUUAGUACAGUCUGAGAAUAUAUAACUAAAUUAGUUAAAACUUUCAACAACGGAUCUCUUGGUUCCAGCAUCGAUGAAGAACGCAGCGAAAUGCGAUAACUAAUGUGAAUUGCAGAAUUCCGUGAAUCAUCGAGUCUUUGAACGCACAUUGCGCCCCCUGGCAUUCCGGGGGGCAUGCCUGUCCGAGCGUCAUUUCAACCCUCAAGCGCGGCUUGCGUGUUGGGCUCUCGUCUCCUAUUUUCUGGGGGACGUGCCCGAAACACAGUGGGGAUGCCGCGAAACCGAGCCCUCAGCGUAUGGGAUUUUCCACCGCUCUAGGCGCCGGCCGACGUUUGCCUACAAUCAAUAUUCUUUCGGUUGACCUCGGAUCAGGUAGGGAUACCCGCUGAACUUAAGCAUA